AGGGUUCGAUUAUGGCUCAGGAUGAACGCUAGCUACAGGCUUAACACAUGCAAGUCGAGGGGCAGCAUCAUCAAAGCUUGCUUUGAUGGAUGGCGACCGGCGCACGGGUGAGUAACACGUAUCCAACCUGCCGACAACACUGGGAUAGCCUUUCGAAAGAAAGAUUAAUACCGGAUGGCAUAAUUAUUCCGCAUGGGAUAAUUAUUAAAGAAUUUCGGUUGUCGAUGGGGAUGCGUUCCAUUAGGCAGUUGGCGGGGUAACGGCCCACCAAACCUACGAUGGAUAGGGGUUCUGAGAGGAAGGUCCCCCACAUUGGAACUGAGACACGGUCCAA
rnacentral:rRNA from 1 species